UGAGUGUGGCUGUAUCGUGCCUGCUGCUGGGCCUACUAAGUGGGGAACCGGCCAUUCUCUGGGAAGUGCGGGGAGGGCGAACAGGCGAGAAUGGCUAUGUCCAAGAUGAAACGGGGGGAACGGGAGGAAACGUUUGUAGCUUGCAUGGAAAGGAGAGGUGGCCGUAAAACGCAGAGACCCGUCGCUCCUCACACGGUAUGGUCAUGGCUCAGCUUCAAGCCAUAUCUUGCCUACUUACAAGCAUGGCCUUCCAUAAUGUAUUCUGUAGUUGAAUAAAUUGGAAGUAAUGGCUGAAUGAAGGCUAUCCAUUUUGGUAGACGCAGAUGUCUGGAUGCUUAUCAAGAGCUUUGAGAAGUGUCACUGACAUGACUAUUCCUUGAAAAACCAAGCACCUGGGUUGAUGGAUCUGGGCCACAAAAGACUGGAAGUGGAGGACUCUGGCAGCGGUAUCCAUUUAUUCCUGUAGAAAUUAGAAACGUGGAGCUCAUUGUCUUGCUUGCUCAAAAGGCAUAGGAGAAGAGAAAGAGCCAGUCUAAAGAUUUUGAAGUUCAAAGGAACCUGAUUCUGAAAGAAAGUACACUUUAUUGAAAGCAAAAUGGUGAGAUCAACUUUUAACAUGUGGAAGCAUUUACAUACUGCAAGAUAUUCUGAGGGAAAAAAGUGGUUCGCAAAUACUGUCAAAUGUUAAAGAUACAGUAUUUCCUAUUCCUACUAGGAUGACCAAAUUCAAUUCAUCCUUGUCAAUAUGACACUUCCUAGAUACAUUACAAAAUGUUAAGUGAGGAGGACCAGUGCAGUUUUCGCUACCCAAUUUUCUCGAUCCAGAAGUCAUGCUGCUGCUUCUGUUACAUCAGCAUCAUCACAAACGGUUGGUCGGUCAACAUCCUCAAGUAAUCUAAGUAUUGCAAACAUCUUGUAUACAAAGCCCUCAAUAGCGUCAUCUGUAUAGGGGAUGGCACCUGGAGAUCAGGAAAAAAUGAACAAGUUCUUGAAAAACUGAUGUUCUACUGGAAUGCCAUUGUCAACAACUGAAAUUUUGUAUGUUUGAAGCUUUUAAAUUGCCAAGUCCAUCAUUCCAUUUGCCCAAGAGAAUUUUUUUGAGCAAGCCAGAAUAUGAAUGGGUAGUAUAAUCCAUGCAAGCUAACACCAGCAAAGCACUUGGUCUUGCAGUACUUACCAGAUGAAUGGACAAAUGUGCAAGGAGGAACUCUGUUUGCAUGAUUACAGUGGCUGGAACAAGCCACUAUGGCUUGUUGCAGCUACUACUGCACAUGCUGGCCAAAUGUCUCUUUAUUGCCCACACUGGGCAGCAUGGCUUAUUUGGGGUGGGCAACAACCCUCAAAUAUGCAAACAACAGUCCAUGGGUUAUUUGAGGGUUGCUGCCAUACCACCCAGGUUCUGAUGAUAUAACAAGUGCCAGUUUGGGUAAUUAGGGAAAUGUGGCCAGCACAGACAGUGGCUUGUUUGAACGGAAACUGGGCCUUAGUUUUUUUAAUGGAAACAUUGAACCAGGAGAGAACAGUCUUACUGCAGAGUAUAUCAGUUGUAAAAUAUGUGAAGGCCAUAGAGAUGGAUAGGAGUGGUGAAGCGUUUGCUUUGCUGAUUGGCAGUGCAAGUAACGUUAAAGCAGAAUUGGAGAACAUAAUGGAUAAAUAUCCACAUAUUACUGCAAUAAAUGAUCUCCUUUGGAAGUACUAAAACAAUACAAAGAAACUCUUGGAGAAACAUUAACAGCUGAGGAUCUUAAAGUACCUGGAAAUGUAAGAAACACUGCUUGAUGAGGAUGUCUUCUGGGUUCAGCUGCAAAAGUCCCUGAAGAUCCUAAAACCAUUUUCUUCUGCAAUUGCUGCAUCUGAAUUGGACAGUGCAGUUUUGCCAGACGUUCUUUACCAAAUGGCCAAGAUAAAAUCAAUGUGUAUUUGAGAAUUUA